UAUAUUAUCAUAUAAAAUAACAAUUAUAUUUUGUAUAUUAUCAUAUAAAAUAACAAUUAUGUUAUAUUAUAAUAAUUAUAUUAUAAAAUACAUUUUAAAAUAAUAUAUAUAUAAUUAUAUAAUAUAUUCUAUUAUUAUAUUAUAUUUUCCUGCUCUUAGGUGAAUGAGGAUCUGGAGCUGGAAUGAACAAUUUUGCACUUUUAAGAGGAUCAAAAAGAUCAGAAGAAGCAGA
rnacentral:lncRNA from 1 species